GUGCCAGCCGCCGCGGUAAUACGUAGGUGGCGAGCGUUGUCCGGAAUCACUGGGCGUAAAGGGCGCGUAGGCGGCUUUACAAGUCACAUGUGAAGGACCAGGGCUCAACCCUGGGGGGUCAUGUGAAACUGUGAAGCUUGAGUGCAGUAGAGGAAAGCGGAAUUCCUGGUGUAGCGGUAAAAUGCGUAGAGAUCAGGAGGAACACCGGUGGCGAAGGCGGCUUUCUGGGCUGCAACUGACGCUGAGGCGCGAAAGCGUGGGGAGCAAACAGGAUUAGAUACCCUGGUAGUCCACGCGGUAAACGAUGAUUACUAGGUGUAGGGGACGCAGGUUCUCUGUGCCGGAGCUAACGCAAUAAGUAAUCCGCCUGGGGAGUACGGCCGCAAGGUUGAA
rnacentral:rRNA from 1 species